GUGGGGAAUAUUGCGCAAUGGGCGCAAGCCUGACGCAGCAACGCCGCGUGGGUGAUGAAGGCCUUCGGGUCGUAAAACCCUGUUAGGUGGGAAGAACCCUGGGCAACCAGCUGACGGUACCACCAGAGGAAGCACCGGCUAACUCCGUGCCAGCAGCCGCGGUAAUACGGAGGGUGCAAGCGUUGUUCGGAAUUACUGGGCGUAAAGGGCGCGUAGGCGGCUACCAAAGUCCGAUGUGAAAGCCCGGGGCUCAACUCCGGAAGGGCAUUGGAAACUGGGUGGCUUGAGUUCGGGCGAGGAGGGCAGAAUUCCCGGUGUAGGAGUGAAAUCCGUAGAGAUCGGGAGGAAAACCAGUGGCGUAAGCGGCCCUCUGGAACGAAACUGACGCUGAGGCGCGAAAGCGUGGGGAGCAAACAGGAUUAGAUACCCCAGUAGUCC
rnacentral:rRNA from 1 species